rnacentral:lncRNA from 1 species
AGAGUCAGACCUGAGGACCCAGCCAGCUUCAGGUGCAGUGGAUAUGUGGCAUCCAGCACAAGCCUUCCCUGCAGCCGUCAGUGCUGCUGUUUUCCAGAUGUGCGCCCAUUCACUGCGUGCCAGUGCUGCUGCUGCAAAUUUGGAAGUUUACACGUGCAUCACGAAGUAAAAAUGACUAGGAAGCUCCAACACAAGCCAUUACAUAAAAGCUG